UCAGUUUAGCCUCUUCAGGCUUAAUAUAAGAAUACUCUGCUCUAAACGUUCCCUUCAUUUGCUGGUAUUCCCCAUGGAAUUCCACUUCCGCCCUGCUUCCUGUAGAACUCCAGUGGAAAAGCUGCGUGCCUUUAAACACUGUCGUUUUUACAGCGUCUACGUCUCGGAUCUGAGGGAUCAAAAACACACACACUUUGGCUUCUUAACAUAUAUUGGCAGGUCACUAUUAUGAUCAGUGAAGGCGGGGCAUCGAUGAACACCCUACAAGACUGUAGGGUGCUGGAGGAUGAAGAUGAUGAACUCCUAACAGGGUUCUCGAUCAAACCCAUUGGAGAAAACAGCUGGACAUCACAAUCUGAAGACAGAAGCAGACCUUCAAGUCAAUCAACUGAUUUACCAAAAAUCACUGGAAAGCAGUACUCCGUUGCCGGGGGUGAGGCGGUUUUGACGCACCAACAGGACAUUAGAGCGUGAAGUCAGUGUCUUUCCAGCCAUUUUUUCACAGAUUUGCCUCAGAGACUUUCUCUCAUAAAGGGCAAGAUUCUCC